rnacentral:tRNA from 1 species
GCCGAAUUAGCUCAGAGGUAGAGCAACCGCCUUGUAAGCGGUAGGUCAUCUGUUCAAGUCAGAUAUUCGGCACCA